UACCAGCACCCCGAGUGGUCGGGACGAUUAUUGGGCCUAAAGCAUCCGUAGCCGGUUUUACAAGUCCCACGUUAAAUCCAGCUGCUUAACAGAUGGGCUGCGGAGGAUACUAUAAGACUAGGAGGCAGGAGAGGCAAGCGGUACUCAGUGGGUAGGGGUAAAAUCCGUUGAUCCAUUGAAGACCACCAGUGGCGAAGGCGGCUUGCCAGAAUGCGCUCGACGGUGAGGGAUGAAAGCUGGGGGAGCAAACCGG
rnacentral:rRNA from 1 species